ACGACUACAUAUCAGGCAUAUCAAUAAGCGGAGGAAAAGAAACUAACUAGGAUUCCCUCAGUAACGGCGAGUGAAGCGGGAAGAGCUCAAAUUUGAAAUCUUCAAGGUUUUACCUUGACGAAUUGUAGUUUAAAGAAGUGUUUUCUGUUGGAGUUUUGGUAAAAGUUCUUUGGAAUAGGACAUCAUAGAGGGUGAGAAUCCCGUAUUUGACCAUUAUUUCCAGCUUUGUGAUACACUUUCAAAGAGUCGGAUUGUCUGGGAAUGCAGUCCAAAAUGGGUGGUAAAUUUCAUCUAAAGCUAAAUAUUGGCGAGAGACCGAUAGCGAACAAGUACCGUGAGGGAAAGAUGAAAAGAACUUUGAAAAGAGAGUUAAACAGUACGUGAAAUUGUCGAAAGGGAAGCGUUUGACACCAGUGUUGUUUCUACGAAAAUCAAUUUAUGAUGGCUUGAUGCUAAGCUUUAAGACUUUAUCCGCUUGUUGUUUAGUUUUCUUGUCUUUGUGAAUGCACUUUUCGUGGAACAAGUCAACAUCAAUUUCUUUUGCUGUAAAAGGGUAAGAGGAAGGUGGCUUCGGCUUCGGUUGAAGUGUUUAUAGCCUUUUAUCUCUGCAGUCGGAGAGAUUGAGGUCUGCAGCGUAGACUCUUCGGGGUUAGAUACGUCGGUGCUAAGCUAUAGCUUUUCAUAGACAACUUGUUGACUAUGUUUAGUCAUGUGGCUUACCCGCUGGCGCUAUUUUACCUACGCUUAGGAUGUUGACACACGCGCGUGCUCG
rnacentral:rRNA from 1 species